rnacentral:tRNA from 1 species
CCUCCUUUCUAAGGACGACGGAGAUGCUUUAUGCUUUAUCUCCGUAUAGUCAAAGUCGAAUCAGUCUCUCUGCUCUUCUCUCCCUUUUCUCCUGUAAUACCUAAGUUAGGCUUCUAGAGUAACGAAUACUUAUAUACGUUGCUGUGUAGGUAUAACUUCAAGUAGGGCCUGUAGCUCAGCUUGGUUAGAGCGCAUCCCUGAUAAGGAUGAGGCCGGUGGUUCAAGUCCACCCAGGCCCACCAGCUCAUUUUGGUUUUGUUUAUUUAUGAUUCAGAGUUGCUUGCCGUCAUGGUAAGGAGCUGGAAGUUCAAACUUCAAAGCCGGAAUCAAGUACCGGGGGAUUAGCUCAGCUGGUAGAGCGCCUGCUUUGCAAGCAGGAGGUCAGCGGUUCGAGCCCGCUAUCCUCCACCACUGGUUUAUAGAACAGGGAUAGAUUAUUAUUUAAGGAUUUAUCAGGC